UACGAAGGGGGCUAGCGUUGUUCGGAAUUACUGGGAUUAAAGGGCGCUUAGGCGGUCUUGUAAGUCAGAUGUGAAAGCCCCGGGCUCAACCCGGGAAUAGCAUUUGAUACUGCGAGGCUUGAGUCCGGGAGAGGAUGGCGGAAUUCCCAGUGUAGAGGUGAAAUUCGUAGAUAUUGGGAAGAACACCGGUGGCGAAGGCGGCCAUCUGGACCAGUACUUACGCUGAGGCGCGAAAGCGUGGGGAGCAAACAGG
rnacentral:rRNA from 1 species